rnacentral:rRNA from 1 species
CAGGCCUUGACAUCCCGGUCGCGGACUCUUGAAAGAGAGUCUUUCAGUUCGGCUGGACCGGUGACAGGUGCUGCAUGGCUGUCGUCAGCUCGUGUCGUGAGAUGUUGGGUUAAGUCCCGCAACGAGCGCAACCCUCGCCCUUAGUUGCCAUCAUUUAGUUGGGCACUCUAAGGGGACUGCCGGUGAUAAGCCGCGAGGAAGGUGGGGAUGACGUCAAGUCCUCAUGGCCCUUACGGCCUGGGCCACACACGUGCUACAAUGGCGGUGACAGUGAGCAGCUAACUCGCGAGAGUAUGCUAAUCUCAAAAAGCCGUCUCAGUUCGGAUUGCACUCUGCAACUCGGGUGCAUGAAGUUGGAAUCGCUAGUAAUCGUGGAUCAGCACGCCACGGUGAAUACGUUCCC